GAUUUAUUGUUCCUGGUUGUGUACCAUUAGACAGAAGUGAUGGGAUCAAUAAAACUUGGAAUUGUCUAACAAGAAAGGGCCAGUUUCUUGCUUAUUAUAUUUGUAAUAACAGAGUCCAUUGGGUAGCACUCCGGUCUGUGAAAGUCAGUGAAUCAAUAAUGCUCUUGUGGUCUGGAUAAUAAUAUACCUUGGCAUGGUGUGAGUGAUGCCAGCAGGUGGGCGGAGAGGCAGGGAAGGAAAGGUCUCAUGCCUUUCAGGUUGACACUAAGAAAGAGGCUUCCAUUCCUUUCCCUGUUCUACCACAUUCUCCUAAUGUGUAUAAGAAAUUAUUCAAAGACAGCAACAGAUUUCCCUCCUGACCUUUAUAGUUGCUGGUUUGGAAUGAUUUUUGGCUGCUUGCUGGAAAAAAAAAUUAUUGCAGAGAUGAAUUGUCAGGACAUCCGCUCCCCUUCCCAUCAGCUUUAUAAACAUUUUGUACUGGAGGCAGUGUGUGUGUGCAGAAGAAACGCUAUGGAAAGUGCUGUAGAAACAAGUGUGGUUUGUUGGCUACCAAAUCUCAAGGCUAUGCUCACUGGUCAGAAUGGUUGGUGUCCAGACCCCCAGCCCCUCAGAUUCUGAGAUGUCUGUGUACCAGGGUAGCACCAGGGAUGGGUUUUCUCUGAGACUGUCUUUUCAUGAUACAGUGUAAAAUGUUUCCCAUGAAAGGGCAGAGCUGAAGAAGCAGUGCAAGUCCAUUUGAAGACCUCUGGAAGGAAACCCCCAGCGGCUCUUUUUUCACUGAACAAGCAUUGUGGGAAUUUGGGGCUCGGCUGUGUAAUUUGUCCUCUUCUCAUUCAUUCAGGUACUAGGAGAGCAGGGCAGUAUGGAAAGGUGCUACUUCAAGGGAAAGGCUUUGAGGUUAUUGCAAAUGGUGGGGGACUGGGGUGGAGUGGGCUACAGGUACAGUGACCAGAAGAUGCUGAAUUCCAAACUGUUUCCUAAAGCCUUUCUUCUGGACUCGACAGUUUUCAAAUCUAAAGAACAUAUUGUGUUGUUUGCAAAGGAAAUAUUGUAAUGGCUUCUUAGUUCAUCCAGGAAAAGAGUCUGUCACUAAUGGGCAUUUUGUAAAAUGAAAUCCUUCUAGGGAGAAGGAUAACUGGUCAGAUUUGAAGGUUAAAAAAAAAGGUCUUGACACUGAUCUCGGUUUGCAGAGAAACAAGAAAUUCUGUCUGACUUCUUUUCAGUGGGAGCUAAAAUUUUAACCACCCCGAUUGCACUCACUUAUAUGAAAACGUUAAUGUUAAACAAAUAGGCAGGGAUUUCUUUUAUUAUUAUUUAUAGAGGAGAAUUUUGCCAUCAGGAAACAUGUUGGCUAAUCUGCUUUGGCCAAAUUCUCCUUAGAGACAGUGAUUAAUAGAAGGAAUGAGUGGAAGAUUAGUAUACGCACAAGGCUAUUCAGGAGUGGGGGUAAAAUGUUAAUGCGGUGACCUUUAAAUCUUCAUUUUUCUUUAUUUCCCUGAAUGCUAAUUAAAGGACAUGUUCAGCACCAGGAGGAAUUUGCAUCCAAGUCCGUCUCCCUGCUAAGUGGUAUUUUGAGAAUUCCGAAGCUUAGUCUCAGAGAAGAGCUGACCUGAACUUGCCGAGGCUCCCACUGCAUUGUAGCUUUUCUCUGGAGAACAAAAACUGCCAUUGUCCAGCAGCUCAUUAGCAUGACUGUACAGCCUCCGGAGUUAGCAAGGUGAUGCAAAAAUAAUAUGACAAGAUCCAUGUCUUCAAUGAGCUACAAUCCUACUGGGACAUGAGACUGUGCUUAUAAUAUGAUGAAAGAAUAAGAAAAUUUUAAAGAUGAAAACACAGCAGCAACAGGUGCCAUUUUGGAAGCAAGAAGCAGAGAACAAGCUCUCACUGGGCAUUAAAUCUGCCGGCAUCUUGAUCUUGAACUUCUCAACCUCCAGAACUCUGAGAAAUAAAUUUCUAUUAUUUACAAAUUACCCAGUCUAAGGUGUUUUGUUAUAGCAGCUCAAACAAAUUAAGAUAUCUGUUUAUUGCUUUUGGUAUGUGUUUGUGUUUUAAUUUUCUUGGAAGGUAGAGCAGAGAGACAAAAAUCACCAAAUUUUGGUGACAUGGUUGAAGCUCUGGGUCAAACCAAUCUUUGAGUCCAGCCUCUGAACCUCGCAUUAAAGUCCUUUAUAGUUUAGAUUGGUUAGGAUUAGGUCUCUUGAUGUUUGUUUUCACCUUGAGGGUUCCUAACUGCUACGGGGAGUCAGUGUGAUUUAACUCUAAGUGAAGAAGAACAGUUUAGAGGGAUGAUCCUGCACAUCUGCAUGGUGAUUGAAUUUAUGUCUCCUAUAAUUGUAUAUACAAAAUGAAAGUUUGGACUCUACAGGACAGGAGACUUUCCCCAACUUCUACCCUCCUUUAUCUUUUGCUGAUUAGUAUUGCAACAGGCACCUAACCAAACUCUCUGGCUCUGGGCCUGUGCUGUGUCUUCUAAUCUUCACACAGCUGCCAGCAUUAUCUUUAAAAGACAGAUCUUAUUA
rnacentral:lncRNA from 1 species